GAUGAACGCUGGCGGCGUGCCUAAUACAUGCAAGUCGAGCGAACAGAUGAGGAGCUUGCUCCUCUGACGUUAGCGGCGGACGGGUGAGUAACACGUGGAUAACCUACCUAUAAGACUGGGAUAACUUCGGGAAACCGGAGCUAAUACCGGAUAAUAUAUUGAACCGCAUGGUUCAAUAGUGAAAGACGGUUUUGCUGUCACUUAUAGAUGGAUCCGCGCCGCAUUAGCUAGUUGGUAAGGUAACGGCUUACCAAGGCAACGAUGCGUAGCCGACCUGAGAGGGUGAUAGGCCACACUGGAACUGAGACACGGUCCAGACUCCUAAGGGAGGCAGCAGUAGGGAAUCUUACGCAAUGGGCGAAAGCCUGACGGAGCAACGCCGCGUGAGUGAUGAAGGUCUUCGGAUCGUAAAACUCUGUUAUUAGGGAAGAACAAAUGUGUAAGUAACUAUGCACGUCUUGACGGUACCUAAUCAGAAAGCCACGGCUAACUACGUG
rnacentral:rRNA from 1 species